rnacentral:miRNA from 1 species
CCUGUUUGGAUCAGCCAAGGC